GCAUAGAUUGGUGAGACAGCCGACUCGAGAAGACGCGUGACACGCAGCCGCAUCCACCCGCUCGCUGCGCCGGCUGUCUAACCGUGUCCGUACGGUGGCCGUGGCCCAACACGUGUAGCGCGAAGCCUCGCGUACGCCUAUGUGCUGUCAAUUUGGAUGGGCGACUCCGUUGCCUCGAGGGCUGUGUACUCUUUCCACCCGCUUUGCUCUCUCUUCUGGCCUCAUAAGAAGUCAGCUUUUUAUUUUUUUUUACUUUAAUAAUUAUAUAUAAUAUUAUUUAUAAUACAUAAAUAAUAUGAUAGAUCGUCGGUACGUAUUUUUCUAUACAUCUAAUCAAAAUUUAAUUAACAUAUACUUCACAAUAUAAUCUAUUAUAAGAUAAUGAGAGUAGAACCGAGUCUUUCCGCACAACAAACAAAACCGUUGGCUCCCUCCAUCCCAAAUUGUAAGUCAUUUCAAGAAUCUUAGAGAGUCAAACUUUUCUAAGUUUGACUAAAUUUAUAUUAUAAAAUAAUAAUUAUUAUGGUAUUAACUAAGUAUUAUUAGAUUUUUUUUCUUAAUUAUAUUUUCAUAGUAUACUCACUUUACGUUAUAAAUCUUAGUAUUUUUCUCUAUAAUUUUGGUCAAACGUGAAAAUGCUUUGACUCUCCAAGAUUCUUGGAAUGACAGAUGGAGGGAGUACUAAGGUCUUGUUUAGUUCACCUCGAAAUCCAAAAAGUUUUCAAGAUUCUCUGUCACAUCAAAUCUUGUGACACAUGCAUGGGUACAAUUCACAGCAUGGGUACAAUUUAGAUGAAAAUCGUAUAGGUUUGGUUUUGAGAUCUAGAGUUAUUCACAGCAUGAGUACAAUUUAGAUGAAAAUCAUUUUCUAGAUAUUUGUGUAAUCCAGAGUGUUUG
rnacentral:lncRNA from 1 species